GACGAACGCUGGCGGCGUGCCUAAUACAUGCAAGUAGAACGCUGAAGGAGGAGCUUGCUUCUCUGGAUGAGUUGCGAACGGGUGAGUAACGCGUAGGUAACCUGCCUGGUAGCGGGGGAUAACUAUUGGAAACGAUAGCUAAUACCGCAUAAUAGUAGAUGUUGCAUGACAUUGGCCUAAAAGGUGCAAUUGCAUCACUACCAGAUGGACCUGCGUUGUAUUAGCUAGUUGGUGGGGUAACGGCUCACCAAGGCGACGAUACAUAGCCGACCUGAGAGGGUGAUCGGCCACACUGGGACUGAGACACGGCCCAGACGCCUACGGGAGGCAGCAGUAGGGAAUCUGCGGCAAUGGGCGGAAGUCUGACCGAGCAACGCCGCGUGAGUGAAGAAGGUUGUCGGAUCGGAAAGCUCUGUUGUAAGAGAAGAACGAGUGUGAGAGUGGAAAGUUCACACUGUGACGGUAUCUGACCAGAAAGGGACGGCUAACUACGUG
rnacentral:rRNA from 1 species